UGUGGAAUACGAUUAUUUCAGCCUUACGUUCUCAAGGCAAGAUCGUUUUAGCAGUUGCUGCUUCUGGAAUAGCGUCUCUAUUAUUACCAUCAGGUCGAACUGCUCAUUCAAGAUUCAAAAUACCAAUCGAUUUAAACGAGACAUCCAUCUGUCAUAUAACAAAGAACACCCACCUGGCACAAUUGCUAGGUGAAACUUCUCUUAUUAUCUGGGACGAGGGACCUAUGAGCAACCGUCGAUGCUUUGAGUCGCUUGACAGGUCACUUAGAGACAUUCUCAGUUGUCAACAUUGUCCUUUUGGAGGAAAAUCUGUGUUACUAGGUGGAGACUUUCGACAAACGUUGCCAAUAAUUCCAGGCGCCUCAAAAACCACCAUCCUAAGCUCUUCACUUCCACGUUCAUAUCUAUGGCCAUUUUUCAAGGUACACAAACUAACAAAAAACAUGCGUCUUCUUUCACACUGCUCACACACAAACUCCGCUGCUGAAUUUUCCGACUUCUCAAUGUGGCUUCUUGAUAUUGGCGACGGUAAACUUGGCCAAAUAGAUGCCACAGACCCAUGCAACACAAAAACUGUUAACAUUCCUAGCAAAUUUUCCAUACCUUAUAAUGAACACGCUAUUGAUGAUCUUAUUCACUUCAUAUACGAUGACAUUUACCUCUCAAACAUUUGCCCAGCUACCCUUUCCCAAAAAGCCAUCGUCUGUCCAAAAAAUGAAACCGUCAAUGAAAUCAAUGAUCUGGUACUUCGUCAAGCUCCAGGCGAUACCAAAAUCUACCUUAGCACUGACACAAUUGUUCCCCACGUUGGUUGUCAAGAGGAUAUUGAAGUUUUGUACCCACCAGAGUACCUGAAUAUGCUUAACUUUAGUGGUCUUCCGAGUCACAAACUUGAGUUAAAGCCUCACUCGCCGGUUAUUCUCUUACGAAACAUCAAUCAAACUGCAGGCCUUUGUAACGGGACCAGAUAAAUCAUCACACAAUUAUUACCAAGGAUUAUUGAAGCACAAGUUAUAACUGGCACGGCUAUCGGACAACGUGUUUAUAUACCCAGGAUUCUUUAACAUACAACGACAAGGAGCUUCCAUUCACUCUCAAGAGAAAGCAAUUCCCGUUACGCCUUUGUUAUGCAAUGACCAUCAACAAAAGUCAAGGUCAAUCCCUCAAUAAGAUUGGCAUCUACCUACCAUAACCCAUUUUCGGCCACGGUCAAUUAUAUGUUGCCUUAUCACGAGCUACCUCACCUGAUGCACUGAAAAUAGUUAUUAAACCUACCCAAGAAACCACUGACAAUUAAACAAAAAACUUUGUUUAUUCAGACUUCUUAAAUGAAAUUGCCCCGUUAUAAAAUCGAAGACCUUCACAGGAUAACAUGACUACGACAACUGUAUAUUACUGAUAAACUUAUGAUAAAUCAUACCACUAGAGACCCAGAUAAUCAUAAUGAAUGAGGAAUUGCAUCUGAGAACAUAAUAAUGACCAAUGUUGUUACAACCGAACCCGACAAAUGUUACUGCAACUGAACUGAAGAUAUUCUGGUGUUACUUACAAAAAUAAUUUUGUCGUCUGCUCAUGUAUAUGUAAAUGAAAUAUGUAUCAUAUAUCU